AUACGGAGGGUGCGAGCGUUGUUCAGAAUUAUUGGGCGUAAAGAGCAUGUAGGCGGUCUGUUAAGUCUGGUGUGAAAGCCCGGGGCUCAACCCCGGAAGUGCAUUGGAUACUGGCAGACUUGAGUAUGGGAGAGGAAAGCGGAAUUCCGAGUGUAGGAGUGAAAUCCGUAGAUAUUCGGAGGAACACCAGUGGCGAAGGCGGCUUCCUGGACCAAUACUGACGCUGAGGCGCGAAGGCGUGGGGAGCAAACAGGAUUAGAUACCCCAGUAGUCC
rnacentral:rRNA from 1 species